GAUGAACGCUGGCGGCGUGCCUAACACAUGCAAGUCGAGCGAUUUACUUCGGUAAAGAGCGGCGGACGGGUGAGUAACGCGUGGGUGACCUGCCCUGUACACACGGAUAACAUACUGAAAGGUAUGCUAAUACGGGAUAACAUAAGAGAGUCGCAUGGCUUUCUUAUCAAAGCUUUUGCGGUACAGGAUGGACCCGCGUCUGAUUAGCUAGUUGGUAAGGUAACGGCUUACCAAGGCGACGAUCAGUAGCCGACCUGAGAGGGUGAUCGGCCACAUUGGAACUGAGACACGGUCCAAACACCUACGGGAGGCAGCAGUGGGGAAUAUUGGACAAUGGGCGAAAGCCUGAUGCAGCAACGCCGCGUGAGCGAUGAAGGCCUUCGGGUCGUAAAGCUCUGUCCUCAAGGAAGAUAAUGACGGUACUUGAGGAGGAAGCCCCGGCUAACUACGUGCCAGCCGCCGCCGUAA
rnacentral:rRNA from 1 species